GAUGAACGCUGGCGGCGUGCCUAAUACAUGCAAGUCGAGCGAACAGACGAGGAGCUUUCUCCUCUGACGUUAGCGGCGGACGGGUGAGUAACACGUGGAUAACCUACCUAUAAGACUGGGAUAACUUCGGGAAACCGGAGCUAAUACCGGAUAAUAUAUUGAACCGCAUGGUUCAAUAGUGAAAGACGGUUUUGCUGUCACUUUUAGAUGAUUCCGCGCCGCAUUAGCUAGUUGGUAAGGUAACGGCUUACCAAGGCGACGAUGCGUAGCCGACCUGAGAGGAUGAUCGGCCACACUGGAACUGAGACACGGUCCAGACUCCUACGGGAGGCAGCAGUAGGGAAUAUUGCGCAAUGGGCGCAAGCCUGACGGAGCAACGCCGCGUGAGUGAUGAAGGUCUUCGGAUCGUAAAACUCUGUUAUUAGGGAAGAACAAAUGUGUAAGUAACUAUGCCCGUCUUGACGGUACCUAAACAGAAAGCCACGGCUAACUACGUG
rnacentral:rRNA from 1 species